GUGGAUCUCUGUGAGGAAAUGCUGCAGAUCUCCAUGUUGGUGAAGGAGCUGCCGGCGUCGCUGCUGCAUUCUGGGUAGGAGGAGCUGGAGGAGAUGAUGUUCUUCAGCCGGUGGAGAGCGAUGAUGAGGAGGGCAACCUGUGCAUGGAUGGGUUUUUGAGCUGCUGCGGCUGUUGUGAGGCCACCGGUGGUCCAUUAGGACUUUAAACUGGUCACAGAAGUUCGCCGGACUGAAACCCUGUCAUCACAGUCAACUCCUCCCUGCGUCUCAAGUCUGCCGACGUAUGCUACAAGCCACUAGACAAACUGGUAACAGCGGGAUAGCCAUUCAUACAGAGAGAGUCUGGCGGGGACUGGCAUAUGGAUGGAGCUUCAGAUGCAAGCGGUGGGGCAGAGCUAUGCAUGUCAAUAGGACAGAGGCGUCGCUCCUCCUGGGACGGUCUUAUCUCUUCCGCUCGCUGCACUGAAGACACAGAGCACAGAUAAUAGAUGGGUGCUAAGCAGAGCAUGACUGUCUGCCACAGCUCCCUGUCGCUAUCGGUUUGUAUCUUCGAUGGGAAUUGUGUUUUGGUAAUAACGAAUUUUGCGUUCUUAGUCAUUGAUCUUCAUUGAUCCAUUUUGAUCUCUGUGUCUCUUAAAGGGACAGUUCAUAAAAAAAAAAAAGAAUGAAAUAUUGUCAUCAUUUAUUUACCAGCUCGUUGUUCCAAACCUGUAAGAACUGAUUUGUCUGCGCAGAGAAGGUCAUGGCGGUACAAAGUAUUGAUCUUCAUUGGAAGUAAAUUUCAAAAAAUGUUGUGAUGGUGAAAAUGAGAAAACCACACGAGGAAUGUACAAGCAGCUAGAGAACAAACAGAGUUAUGCAGUUAACUUUUACCAGAGCAACUCGAGUCAUGCCAGCUGAGCUUCAGGAAAGUGUGAAACUCCAUCAGACUAUUGGCAGCACACAGCCCUCAGCUAUAAACUGGCAACGACACAGCACAGCAAAUACGAGGGAAAACUGGAAAUUUAUAGCCGUACCUGAGCUGCCGCUGCUGCUGGAUUGUCGGCUGCAGUGCAUCACAAUAAUAGAAUGGCAAGCAUCCAAUUCAAUCUAGCUCUCAGGCACCUCAAAUGUACAUUCAUAUACAGUUGAAGUCAGAAUUGUUAGCCCUCCUGAAUUAUUAAAUAAUUUAUUUAUUUUAUCUUUAAUAUG